AUACGGAGGGUGCAAGCGUUAUUCGGAGUCACUGGGCGUAAAGGACGCGUAGGCGGGUUGGCAAGUCAGAUGUGAAAUCCUACAGCUUAACUGUAGAACUGCAUUUGAAACUGCUAACCUAGAGUAAGGGAGGGGGAGAUGGAAUUAGUGGUGUAGGGGUAAAAUCCGUAGAUAUCACUAGGAAUACCGAAAGCGAAGGCGAUCUCCUGGAACAUAACUGACGCUAAGGCGUGAAAGCGUGGGGAGCAAACAGGAUUAGAUACCCUAGUAGUCC
rnacentral:rRNA from 1 species